rnacentral:rRNA from 1 species
GAUGAACGCUAGCGGCAGGCUUAACACAUGCAAGUCGAGGGGUAUUUGGACUUCGGUUCAGAGAGACCGGCAAACGGGUGCGGAACACGUACACAACCUACCUUUAUCAGGGGGAUAGCCCAUAGAAAUGUGGAUUAAUACCCCAUAGUAUUAUGUGAUGGCAUCAUUAUAUAAUUAAAGAAUUUCGGAUAGAGAUGGGUGUGCGUAAGAUUAGCUAGUUGGUAGGGUAACGGCCUACCAAGGCAACGAUCUUUAGCUGAUGUGAGAGCAUGAUCAGCCACACGGGCACUGAGACACGGGCCCGACUCCUACGGGAGGCAGCAGUGAGGAAUAUUGGUCAAUGGACGGAAGUCUGAACCAGCCAUGCCGCGUGAAGGAUGAAGGCGUUCUGCGUUGUAAACUUCUUUUAUCUGGGAAGAAACCACAGAUUUCUAUUUGUGUUGACGGUACCAGAUGAAUAAGCACCGGCUAACUCCGUGCCAGC